AGUGGGGAAUAUUGCACAAUGGGCGGAAGCCUGAUGCAGCAACGCCGCGUGCGGGAUGAAGGCCUUCGGGUUGUAAACCGCUUUCAGCUCCGACGAAUGUGACGGUAGGAGCAGAAGAAGCACCGGCUAACUACGUGCCAGCAGCCGCGGUGAUACGUAGGGUGCGAGCGUUGUCCGGAUUUAUUGGGCGUAAAGAGCUCGUAGGCGGUUUGUUGCGUCGGAAGUGAAAACUUGGGGCUUAACUCCAAGCUUGCUUUCGAUACGGGCAGACUUGAGGGAGGUAGGGGAGAACGGAAUUCCUGGUGGAGCGGUGGAAUGCGCAGAUAUCAGGAGGAACACCGGUGGCGAAGGCGGUUCUCUGGACCUUUCCUGACGCUGAGGAGCGAAAGCGUGGGGAGCAAACAGGCUUAGAUACCCUGGUAGUCCACGCCGUAAACGGUGGGCACUAGGUGUGGGGGACAUUCCACGUUCUCCGUGCCGUAGCUAACGCAUUAAGUGCCCCGCCUGGGGAGUACGGCCGCAAGGCUAAAACUCAAAGGAAUUGACGGGGGCCCGCACAAGCGGCGGAGCAUGCGGAUUAAUUCGAUGCAACGCGAAGAACCUUACCUGGGUUUGACAUGCACCAGAAGCAUUCAGAGAUGGGUGUGCCUUUGGGCUGGUGUGCAGGUGGUGCAUGGCUGUCGUCAGCUCGUGUCGUGAGAUGUUGGGUUAAGUCCCGCAACGAGCGCAACCCUCGUCCUAUGUUGCCAGCGGUUCGGCCGGGAACUCAUGGGAGACUGCCGGGGUCAACUCGGAGGAAGGUGGGGAUGACGUCAAGUCUUCAUGCCCCUUAUGUCCAGGGCUUCACGCAUGCUACAAUGGCUGGUACAAAGGGUUGCGAUAUCGUGAGGUGGAGCGAAUCCCAUAAAGCCAGUCUCAGUUCGGAUUGGGGUCUGCAACUCGACCCCAUGAAGUCGGAGUCGCUAGUAAUCGCAGAUCAGCAUUGCUGCGGUGAAUACGUUCCCGGGCCUUGUACACACCGCCCGUCAAGUCAUGAAAGUCGGUAACACCCGAAGCCGGUGGCCUAACCCUUGUGGGGGGAGCCGUCGAAGGUGGGAUCGGUAAUUAGGACU
rnacentral:rRNA from 1 species